UUCCAGCUCCAAUAGCGUAUAUUAAAGUUGUUGCGGUUAAAAAGCUCGUAGUUGAAUCUGUGUCCCGCGCUGUCGGUUCACCGCCCGCGGUGUUUAACUGGCAUGUCUCGCGGGACGUCCUGCCGGUGGGUGCGUUGUUCGUUCUAUAUGUACAUAUUAUUAUGGAUUAUGUGAUUUCCAAUUUAAACUUUACGAUAGUGUUACCUAUUUAUAAUAUAUAUAUUUUAUAUGUAUAUUUUAUAGUGUUUUCAUUAGUUCGGGGUUUUUUUUGGUGCACAUAUAUACAUUUUAAUCGUGUCUUUAGUUCUGAAUACCACCCGACUUACGAAUCCUGUCGCGGUGCUCUUAACCGAGUGUCGAGGCGGGCCGGCACGUUUACUUUGAACAAAUUAGAGUGCUCAAAGCAGGCUAAAAUUUCGCCUGAAUAUUGUGUGCAUGGAAUAAUGGAACAGGACCUCGGUUCUAUUUUGUUGGUUUUCGGAACCCCCGAGGUAAUGAUUAAUAGGGACAGAUGG
rnacentral:rRNA from 1 species